UACGUAGGGGGCUAGCGUUGUCCGGAAUCAUUGGGCGUAAAGAGCGUGUAGGCGGUCCGGUAAGUCCGCUGUGAAAGUCCGGGGGGCUCAACCCCUCGAAUGCCGGUUGGAUACUGUCGGGACUAGAGUGCGGAAGAGGCGAGUGGAAUUCCUGGUGUAGCGGUGAAAUGCGCAGAUAUCAGGAGGAACACCAAUGGCGAAGGCAGCACUCUGGGACGUGAGCUGGACGCUGAGACGGCGAAAGCGUGGGGAGCAAACACGGG
rnacentral:rRNA from 1 species